GGAUCCACCAUGUCGACCACUGCCUGUGCAGCAGUCUUCAAGUCGGCAAGUUCCUUGUUGCAGAUAUCUUUUUCAGCUACCAAGUUUUUGAUCUGCUGCAUGCACUGCACCAGCUGCACAUCUGCAUGCUCCAUGAUCUUGUUACAACUUUUUUAGCUCUGCGUGGUUGCGACAAGUAUAAGUACCAAGACAGAUGUACAGGUUGCUACUCGACUACAGUCAAGGGCUAGCAAGCUAAAGGAGUUACCUUUAUGAUUCUUCACAAUCGACUUGUUUUUCUCUUGCAAAGACUGAUUUCUCUCUUUGAGAGCUUUGUUGUCCUUUGCCAGGGACUCUAUCUCUUUCUUCAGCAGCUCCUUCUCCUGGCGGCGCUCAAACUCGAUCGUGUCAUGUUUGUUCCACAAGUCAUCGACCUCUUGGGUCUUCUCCUUAAGCUGGCUUUUCUUGUCGACCAUCAGCUGGAGCCCUUCUUCAACUUCUUUUAGCUUCUGGGACUUCACAGUUGACUGGUUGGCAAGUUCCUGCACACACGAGGACAUAUGAACUACGGUGCCAAACACAAGAUAAGUACUCGAUGAAAGGCACUUACGGUUAAAAAUGUCUGACAUUCCUUUAUAUUAUCUUGAAAUAACUUCAUUUUUUCCGCCAGCAGCAUAGAGUCUUCAUUCAGAUUUGCAUAUAUCUUUGGCAGACGCUCCAGAAUUUCUUCAGCACUUGCAGCACCUUGCUUUUCAGAUAUUGAUUGCUGCAUGGCUACAAUUUCUACUCCAUCAGUGUUAACGAGUCGAGCUAUUGGGAGAUGGCAAUCUGAAAAAGGCCACAGAAUUGGCUCACCUACUGAGAUCUCUGAUGCAUCAAUCAGAGCAUCAUCACCUUCAGGCGCUGCUGGUGCCCCUCCUUGGUCACCUCGAUCUGCUCCAGUUCCAGGAGUCUCCUCAGCAGAAGCCUCAGGCAGAAUCUGAUCUACUUCAGCUAGAGACUGCGUCGUGGGUACUCCUGUGGCUGGUGCAGGCCUGGGGGCUGGCGAAGCGAGGGCCUGUGCAGGCUUACCCAAUCCUAAUUCAGCUGCUACGCUGUACAUGCUCAUAGCAAAAUCAAGCGUACACACAAGAAUGAACGACGAAUCAAGGCAACAUAAGUGGCUUGUUUUUCAAAUUGAAAGAUAAGUAAAGAUUUGGAAGAUAAUGAUUGAAGACUGAUUUGACCGUCAGCCUGAUUAUUCGAUUCAACCUAAGGCUCGGGGGCUACUCCAUAUGGAGCGCGAGUUCAUCGCGCACCAUACAAAAGAAGAUGAUUUAGGGCUUGAGCACCUCAUAGCCUCGACGCAGCCAAAGAAGUACUCGGAAGACUAUUCGAAGCACCCGAAGGACUCCAGAAGCACUCGAAGAUGACUUCAGAAGUACUCGACGCCUGCAGUACUUGACUACGAAGAGCUCGGGGGCUUGUCAGACCCAGGACAGCGGGACUGCUCACAAGCGUAGAAUGUUCUAGAGUAAGGGAUAGCACAUGACAUGUACCUUAUCCUCUUGUAACUACCCGAUUAGGCGUAGAACUAGUCGACAUACGAGGGAAACUAUUCGACUCAGCUCGAGUAGGACUUCAGGUUAGUAUUCGGCUAGGAUUUUCAUAUAACCCUAUCCCCGAGACUAUAUAAGGGCGGCCAGGGACCCCUCCAAAACAUGCAAUCUCUAAGGCAAUACAAACCAACA